AUUGAACGCUGGCGGCAGGCCUAACACAUGCAAGUCGAGCGGAUGAAGGGAGCUUGCUCCUGGAUUCAGCGGCGGACGGGUGAGUAAUGCCUAGGAAUCUGCCUGGUAGUGGGGGAUAACGUCCGGAAACGGGCGCUAAUACCGCAUACGUCCUGAGGGAGAAAGUGGGGGAUCUUCGGACCUCACGCUAUCAGAUGAGCCUAGGUCGGAUUAGCUAGUUGGUGGGGUAAAGGCCUACCAAGGCGACGAUCCGUAACUGGUCUGAGAGGAUGAUCAGUCAGACUGGAAUGAAGACGGGGUCGAGGCUCAGACUGGAGGCAGCAGUGGGGAUUAUUGGACGAGGGGCGAAGGAUUGAUCCAGCCAUGCAGCGGGUGUGAAGAAGGUAUUCGGAUUGUAUAGCAGUUUAAGUUGAAAGAAAGGACAAUAAGCCAAUACCUUGCUGGCUAGCCGUUACCAACAGAAUAAGCACCGCAUAACUUCAUG
rnacentral:rRNA from 1 species